ACGGGUGCGUAACGCGUGGGAAUCUGCCCUUUGGUCUGGGAUAACUGUUGGAAACGACAGCUAAUACCGGAUGAUGACGUAAGUCCAAAGAUUUAUCGCCAGAGGAUGAGCCCGCGUCGGAUUAGCUAGUUGGUGGGGUAAAGGCCUACCAAGGCGACGAUCCGUAGCUGGUCUGAGAGGAUGAUCAGCCACACUGGGACUGAGACACGGCCCAGACUCCUACGGGAGGCAGCAGUGGGGAAUAUUGGACAAUGGGCGAAAGCCUGAUCCAGCAAUGCCGCGUGAGUGAUGAAGGCCUUAGGGUUGUAAAGCUCUUUUACCCGGGAUGAUAAUGACAGUACCGGGAGAAUAAGCUCCGGCUAACUCCGUGCCAGCAGCCGCGGUAAUACGGAGGGAGCUAGCGUUGUUCGGAAUUACUGGGCGUAAAGCGCACGUAGGCGGCUUUGUAAGUUAGAGGUGAAAGCCUGGAGCUCAACUCCAGAACUGCCUUUGAUACUGCAUGGCUUGAAUCCAGGAGAGGUGAGUGGAAUUCCGAGUGUAGAGGUGAAAUUCGUAGA
rnacentral:rRNA from 1 species